rnacentral:rRNA from 1 species
AUUGAACGCUGGCGGCAGGCUUAACACAUGCAAGUCGAGCGGGGGAAGGUAGCUUGCUACUGGACCUAGCGGCGGACGGGUGAGUAAUGCUUAGGAAUCUGCCUAUUAGUGGGGGACAACAUCUCGAAAGGGAUGCUAAUACCGCAUACGUCCUACGGGAGAAAGCAGGGGAUCUUCGGACCUUGCGCUAAUAGAUGAGCCUAAGUCGGAUUAGCUAGUUGGUGGGGUAAAGGCCUACCAAGGCGACGAUCUGUAGCGGGUCUGAGAGGAUGAGCCGCCACACUGGGACUGAGACACGGCCCAGACUCCUACGGGAGGCAGCAGUGGGGAAUAUUGGACAAUGGGGGGAACCCUGAUCCAGCCAUGCCGCGUGUGUGAAGAAGGCCUUAUGGUUGUAAAGCACUUUAAGCGAGGAGGAGGCUACUUUAGUUAAUACCUAGAGAUAGUGGACGUUACUCGCAGAAUAAGCACCGGCUAACUCUGUGCCAGCAGCAGCCGCCG